GUGCUCAAUUCAGCAGCCCCUAUACUAAAAUUGGAACAAUUCAGAGACUAUUAGCAUGGCCCCUGCACAAGGAUGACAUGCAAAUUUGUGAAGCAUUCCAUAUACUU